rnacentral:rRNA from 1 species
CUGGAGGUAUCAGAAGUGCGAAUGCUGACAUAAGUAACGAUAAAGCGGGUGAAAAGCCCGCUCGCCGGAAGACCAAGGGUUCCUGUCCAACGUUAAUCGGGGCAGGGUGAGUCGACCCCUAAGGCGAGGCCGAAAGGCGUAGUCGAUGGGAAACGGGUUAAUAUUCCCGUACUUGGUGUUACUGCGAAGGGGGGACGGAGAAGGCUAUGUUGGCCGGGCGACGGUUGUCCCGGUUUAAGCGUGUAGGUGUGUGUUCCAGGUAAAUCCGGUUCACUUUAACACUGAGGCGUGAUGACGAGGCACUACGGUGCUGAAGCAACAAAUGCCCUGCUUCCAGGAAAAGCCUCUAAGCAUCAGGUAACAUCAAAUCGUACCCCAAACCGACACAGGUGGUCAGGUAGAGAAUACCAAGGCGCUUGAGAGAACUCGGGUGAAGGAACUAGGCAAAAUGGUGCCGUAACUUCGGGAGAAGGCACGCUGACACGUAGGUGAAGUGAUUUACUCACGGAGCUGAAGUCAGUCGAAGAUACCAGCUGGCUGCAACUGUUUAUUAAAAACACAGCACUGUGCAAACACGAAAGUGGACGUAUACGGUGUGACGCCUGCCCGGUGCCGGAAGGUUAAUUGAUGGGGUCAGCGCAAGCGAAGCUCCUGAUCGAAGCCCCGGUAAACGGCGGCCGUAACUAUAACGGUCCUAAGGUAGCGAAAUUCCUUGUCGGGUAAGUUCCGACCUGCACGAAUGGCGUAAUGAUGGCCAGGCUGUCUCCACCCGAGACUCAGUGAAAUUGAACUCGCUGUGAAGAUGCAGUGUACCCGCGGCAAGACGGAAAGACCCCGUGAACCUUUACUAUAGCUUGACACUGAACAUUGAGCCUUGAUGUGUAGGAUAGGUGGGAGGCUUUGAAGCGUGGACGCCAGUCUGCGUGGAGCCGACCUUGAAAUACCACCCUUUAAUGUUUGAUGUUCUAACGUGGACCCGUAAUCCGGGUUGCGGACAGUGUCUGGUGGGUAGUUUGACUGGGGCGGUCUCCUCCUAAAGAGUAACGGAGGAGCACGAAGGUUGGCUAAUCCUGGUCGGACAUCAGGAGGUUAGUGCAAUGGCAUAAGCCAGCUUGACUGCGAGCGUGACGGCGCGAGCAGGUGCGAAAGCAGGUCAUAGUGAUCCGGUGGUUCUGAAUGGAAGGGCCAUCGCUCAACGGAUAAAAGGUACUCCGGGGAUAACAGGCUGAUACCGCCCAAGAGUUCAUAUCGACGGCGGUGUUUGGCACCUCGAUGUCGGCUCAUCACAUCCUGGGGCUGAAGUAGGUCCCAAGGGUAUGGCUGUUCGCCAUUUAAAGUGGUACGCGAGCUGGGUUUAGAACGUCGUGAGACAGUUCGGUCCCUAUCUGCCGUGGGCGCUGGAGAACUGAGGGGGGCUGCUCCUAGUACGAGAGGACCGGAGUGGACGCAUCACUGGUGUUCGGGUUGUCAUGCCAAUGGCACUGCCCGGUAGCUAAAUGCGGAAGAGAUAAGUGCUGAAAGCAUCUAAGCACGAAACUUGCCCCGAGAUGAGUUCUCCCUGAGACUUAGAGUC